rnacentral:rRNA from 1 species
UAUGGUGUGUGCCAGCAGCCGCGGUAAUACGUAGGGGGCAAGCGUUAUCCGGAUUUACUGGGUGUAAAGGGAGCGUAGACGGCAUGGCAAGCCAGAUGUGAAAGCCCGGGGCUCAACCCCGGGACUGCAUUUGGAACUGUCAGGCUAGAGUGUCGGAGAGGAAAGCGGAAUUCCUAGUGUAGCGGUGAAAUGCGUAGAUAUUAGGAGGAACACCAGUGGCGAAGGCGGCUUUCUGGACGAUGACUGACGUUGAGGCUCGAAAGCGUGGGGAGCAAACAGG